UACGUAGGCAGCAAGCGUUGUUCGGAAUUACUGGGCGUAAAGAGUGUGUAGGCGGUGUUCUAAGUCUGUCGUGAAAUCUCCCGGCUUAACUGGGAGGGUGCGGCGGAAACUGGAAUGCUAGAGGGUGGGAGAGGAAAGCGGAAUUCCUGGUGUAGCGGUGAAAUGCGUAGAUAUCAGGAGGAACACCUGCGGUGCAGACAGCUUUCUGGACCACUUCUGACGCUGAGACACGAAAGCGUGGGUAGCAAACAGG
rnacentral:rRNA from 1 species